CCGGUUGAUCCCGCCGGACCCGACUGCUAUCCGGGUAGGACUAAGCCAUGCAAGUUGAAUGAAAUACCUAAAUUUUCCAUGGCGUACCACUCAGUAACACGUGAUCAACUUACCCUAAGGAGGAGUAUAACCUCGGGAAACUGAGGAUAAUGCACCAUAUUUGAAAUUGCCUGGAAUGGUUUUUCAAAAAAAGAGUAGUCCGAAUGGGGACUAUUUCACCUUAGGAUAGGAUCGCGCCCGAUUAUGGCUGUUGGUGAGGUAACGGCUCACCAAACCUAUUAUCGGUAAGGGCCGUGAGAGCGGGAGCCCUGAGUUGGGUACUGAGACAAUGACCCAGGUCUUACGAGACGCAGCAGGCGCGAAAUCUUGACAAUACACGAAAGUGUGAUCAGGUUACCCGGAGUGCUACAAUGUAGCUGUGGCAAGUGAGUUAGAUUCCUUGCUAGGAAGGAGAGGGCAAGGCUGGUGCCAGCCGCCGCGGUAAAACCAGCUCUUCAAGUGGUCGGGAUUAUUAUUGGGCUUAAAGUGUCCGUAGCCGGUAUAGUAAGUUCCUGGUUAAAUCGGAUAGCUUAACUAUCUGUUGGCUAGGAAUACUGCCAUACUAGGGGGCGGGAGAGGUCUGAGGUACUCCAGGGGUAGGGGUGAAAUCCUAUAAUCCUUGGGGGACCACCAGUGGCGAAGGCGUCAGACUGGAACGCGCCCGACGGUGAGGGACGAAAGCCAGGGGAGCGAACCGGAUUAGAUACCCGGGUAGUCCUGGCUGUAAACGAUGCGUGCUAGGUGUUGGUAUGGCCUUGAGCCGUAUCAGUGCCGUAGGGAAACCGAUAAGCGCGCCGCCUGGGGAGUACGGUCGCAAGACUGAAACUUAAAGGAAUUGGCGGGCGAGCACCACAAGGGGUGAAGCCUGCGGUUCAAUUGGAGUCAACGCCGGGAAU
rnacentral:rRNA from 1 species